rnacentral:rRNA from 1 species
AUUGAACGCUGGCGGCAGGCCUAACACAUGCAAGUCGAACGGUAACAGGAAGCAGCUUGCUGCUUUGCUGACGAGUGGCGGACGGGUGAGUAAUGUCUGGGAAACUGCCUGAUGGAGGGGGAUAACUACUGGAAACGGUAGCUAAUACCGCAUAACGUCGCAAGACCAAAGAGGGGGGACCUUCGGGCCUCUUGCCAUCGGAUGUGCCCAGAUGGGAUUAGCUAGUAGGUGGGGUAACGGCUCACCUAGGCGACGAUCCCUAGCUGGUCUGAGAGGAUGACCAGCCACACUGGAACUGAGACACGGUCCAGACUCCUACGGGAGGCAGCAGUGGGAAUAUUGGCACAAUGGGCGCAAGCCUGAUGCAGCCAUGCCGCGUGUAUGAAGAAGGCCUCGGGUUGUAAGUAC